AACCACUUUCCUGUGGAACAUCAAAAUUCUUGUUUCUCUGUAUUAAGCACACAGAAUAGAAAAUCAGGAUGAUGCCCCUCAACAUUUGCCUAUGUAUUAGAAAGCUAUCCUGAGGUACAUGGAAGGAAAUCGUUAUCUAUCUGGCCCUAAGGGAAGAUGGAAAAAGAGAUAAAUGGAAAGAGAAGAUGUGAGCAGUUUCUGCUCUGAACUGUAAACAUCCAUGCGGACUUUUUGAUAGAUGGUGUGGUUCUAUUUUGUUGGUUUUUGGAACUGAGGUCAUAAUUAAGAAGGGUGCUUGGGGUAUUCGUAUUGUGCCAAUAAAUGUGAAAUUCUUGGAACGGUGCAAGACAGACCAGAGGGAAAGCAUUUGCCAAUAAUAUUUUCCUUAAUCAAGAAAGAAAGUCGGAGGUUCGAAGAUGAUCAGAUACCAUCAUAUUUCUGACCACAAACAAUGCCCACUGGAGAUGCAGUGGUGCUAUUCCCAUGACCCUCCUGGGUAGCUUCCUGGAAACCUAAGUGUGUGGGUUUGGGGGGAGUAUGGUUGCAAAGCUGAAACUUAAAGGAAUUGAUGGAAGGUCACCACUAGGAGUGGAGCCUUCAGCUUAAUUUGACUCUACCUGGACCAGAUAGGGACAGGAUUGACAGAUUGAUAGCUCUUUCUUGAAUCUGCGGGUGGUGGUUCAUGGCCAUUCUUAUUUGGUGGAGCGAUUUUUCUGGUCAAUUCCAAUAAGGAAGGAGACGCUGGCAUGCUAACUAGUUAAGUGACCCUGGAGUGGUCAGCAUCCCCCAACUUCUUAUAGGGACAAGUGGCAUUCAGCCACCUGAGAUUGAGCAAUAACAGGUCUGUGAUGCCCUUAGAUGUCUGAGGCUGCAUGCACACUACACUGACUGGCUCAGCCUGUGCCUACUCUAUGCCAGCAGGAGUGAGUUACCCAUUGAACCCCAUUCAUGAAGGGGAUCAGGGAUUGCAAUUAUUCCCCAUGAAUGAGGAAUUCCCAAUAAGUGCGGGUCAUAAGCUUGCAUUAAUUAAGUCCCUGUCCUUGCAUUAAUUAAGACACCGCCUGUCACUAUUACCAAUUGUAUGGUUUAGUGAGACCCUCAUAUCGGCCCUGAAGGUGUCUGCCCAUGGCCCUGGUUGCCUGCUGAAGAAGUCGAACUUGGCUAUCUAGAGGAAGUAAAAGUCCCAACAAGGUUUCUGCAGGUGAACCUGCAGAAGGAUCAUUA
rnacentral:ncRNA from 1 species